rnacentral:rRNA from 1 species
GGAUCCAGACUUUGAUCAUGGCUCAGGAUGAACGCUAGCUACAGGCCUAACACAUGCAAGUCGAGGGGAAACGGCAGCUUAGCUUGCUAAGCUGGACGUCGACCGGCGCACGGGUGAGUAACGCGUAUCCAACCUGCCCCACGGUGAGGGAUAACCCGCGGAAACGCGGCCUAAUACCUCAUGGUCUCCGAGUUUGCCAUCAACCUUGGAGUAAAGAUUCAUUGCCGUGGGAUGGGGAUGCGUCUGAUUAGCUUGUUGGCGGGGCAACGGCCCACCAAGGCAACGAUCAGUAGGGGUUCUGAGAGGAAAGCCCCCCACAUUGGAACUGAGACACGGUCCAAACUCCUACGGGAGGCAGCAGUGAGGAAUAUUGGUCAAUGGGCGAGAGCCUGAACCAGCCAAGUAGCGUGCAGGAAGACGGCCCUAUGGGUUGUAAACUGCUUUUAUGCGGGGGUAAAGCGGGCGACGUGUCGCCCUUUGCAGGUACCGCAUGAAUAAGGACCGGCUAAUUCCGUGCCAGCAGCCGCGGUAAUACGGAGGGUCCGGGCGUUAUCCGGAUUUAUUGGGUUUAAAGGGAGCGCAGGCCGGGUAUUAAGCGUGUUGUGAAAUGUAGGCGCCCAACGUCUGCACCGCAGCGCGAACUGGUGCCCUUGAGUACGCACGACGUUGGCGGAAUUCGCCGUGUAGCGGUGAAAUGCUUAGAUAUGGCGAAGAACUCCGAUUGCGAAGGCAGCUGACGGGAGCGCUACUGACGCUCAUGCUCGAAAGCGCGGGUAUCGAACAGGAUUAGAUACCCUGGUAGUCCGCGCGGUAAACGAUGGAUGCCCGCUAU